CAAUAGAGGAGUUUGUAGAUGCUCCCUUUCCAUCGGAGCAGGAGCUGUGAGAAGGUGCCCAGGCGUGCAUCAGCUACACGACUUGGAUUGGAUGGUUCGUUGAAUAAAGGAUGCCUUGAAACAGAAGACUUUCCUCUAUGAUAGUCCUUCAAAUAGAAAACUUUUCCUACUGAGGCAAGAAGUGAGCAGGAAUAAAGAAGCAACACUGGAAAAUAAGGAGAAGGAAAUUGGGGAACAUCUAAAGGAACCGAAAGUUGGAGUAUGGGAAAAGAAAAGGCGAGAUGUUUAACAGUAUCUUGAUGAUGUGGAUUUCCUGGCUCAGUCAUGUCAUCGCCUGGAGUUGCUCAAUGUGAUGGAUGAACCUUUCACAAGGUCCCAGUGUUUAUAUUAUUGUGUUCCUAGCCACGUGUUUGCCAGAGGCAGCUUGAAGAUUAUUCCAAUAUGUAAUGCCAAAUACAUAACACAGAAAUGUUGUAUGGUAGCCAGUCUAUCUGUAAGAAUAGCUCAGCCCCCAAAUAAGCAUAUUGUCUGCUGCAUUGUCCGUCUUGCUGUGCCUCUUUCUCUCUCUCAAACCCUUCCCUCCCCCAAGAUGAUUAUGCACCUGACUGCAUUGGUAGCAAGAAAAUGCCAGGGCUUAUCCACACUUACCUUCCCUCAAUGCUUUCCAGGCAUGGUCUGUGCCUUAAAACUCCAUGUCCAAACGCCUUUUUUCCCCAUUGCUCCAGAGUUUCUCUGUGUAGACCCACUCUUUAUAGUUCAGUUGGAGCAAACAGCAAUCUGUGGGAAACCCAAAUUGAUGUUUGCUCCAACUGAGUCUUAAAGAGCAGGUUCUCAUGGG